rnacentral:rRNA from 1 species
UCUAGAUUUUAGCAUGGAAUAAUAAAAUAGGACUUUGGUUCUAUUUUGUUGGUUUCUAGGACCGAAGUAAUGAUUAAUAGGGAUAGUUGGGGGCAUUAGUAUUUAAUUGUCAGAGGUGAAAUUCUUGGAUUUAUUAAAGACUAACUUCUGCGAAAGCAUUUGCCAAGGAUGUUUUCAUUAAUCAAGAACGAAAGUUAGGGGAUCGAAGACGAUCAGAUACCGUCGUAGUCUUAACCAUAAACUAUGCCGACUAGGGAUCAGGCAAGGAUAUUUUGACUUGUUUGGCACCUUAUGAGAAAUCAAAGUUUUUGGGUUCCGGGGGGAGUAUGGUCGCAAGGCUGAAACUUAAAGGAAUUGACGGAAGGGCACCACCAGGAGUGGAGCCUGCGGCUUAAUUUGACUCAACACGGGGAAACUCACCAGGUCCAGAA